AUGUUGUCCCAUCUAAAAGCAAAAGAUGGUACUGCUUAGCCGUGACUGUCAUACAGCCUGCAAGCACAGCUGGUGCACUGGGCAGAGUGAAUGGGAAGAAACAACUCUCCAUGCUCCUACUCUCCCGAUACAUCUGUGCCCAGCAGGCAUGUGAAGCAAAAGGCACUGAGCCCUAGUUUUCCUCUCACAACAGCUUUACAGAAUGAUGAAUUUAUUCUCGGUUACGCAGGCACAGUAGACUGCUAGUGAGAAUCGUCCCAAGAUCAUCCCCGCUCUCUACUCAGACCAUCAAGAAUUCCUUAAAUGGAGCCAACAGGCUUGGGAAUAGAAGGCAAAGACUUAAGAGGAUCCUACAUUGCCUAACGGAAGCUUGAAUCAGAUCCACUCUUCCCACUAUAGACGACUUUUACCAGAGAGGAGAAUGGAGUCUCUGCUCAGCCUCAAAUGCUUUUUAAAUUCCUGGUAAAAAUGAAAAAAGGUCACAUCAGCCUGCAUAUCAUUUGCAAUGGCUUUUCCAAUCAUGCCAGUAGAUACAUCUGCAAAUAAUUGCAUAGCUUAAUUAGUUACGUAUAAUAUCCGUGGAGAGAGAUGCUGAGAGACCAAGGAUCUACGUGGGACUGGUAUAUUAGAAUUUAGAUUAGGACAUCAGUGCUGGGCCUGCAUACUCAUAAACAUGUACUUCCUUGUUGGACUCUUUUCACUACUAAUGUUCCUUGUGCAUUGAAUACUUUUUCCAAGCCAGAGCAUUCUGUUGGCCUCAAACCCAGAAAAAAAUGUGAUUUUGAAACAGUACUCACUCUGAAUUUGAAUGAUUUAAUCUUCAAAAUUUCAUGGAAAACAAACAAUGAUGUUUUUACUUCACAGCAAGCAAAGUACCAUUGAAAAUUAGAACAUUGAACUGUAGUGCUGACUUUUGUAAUAGGGCACUAAAAUGCAGGAGGAAAAAUACUAUCAAAUAGAAAAUUUUAAUCUUUACUCAGGAAAAGUCCAAGGUAACACUUCACACGUGUUUAAAAAAGAAAACUCUCCUCUAAAUUGAAUCACUUUCUGAAACUUUCAGCUUUCAAUCCAUCAGCAUUUCCAAAAGAAAAAUGUUCUGGCAGAACAUUUGUUAUCAUUCCUCCUUUAAAUUGUUUUUGUGAGCAGGGUGACAUCUGCACUCAUGUACCCAUGAAAGUCGGAGUGGCACCAAAGUCAGUCUCUGGCACCAUUGAGUGACAAUGUGAAUUCCAUGUUUAACAGACAAUACAGUACACCAGUUUUCACCUUCACCUGCUACAUACACAGGACCCUCCAAAAGAUCUGCUAACUAUGCUUGAUAGAGCAGUGAGUUUCAGAAUAGGAAAUAGCAUCAGCAUUACUUCAAACUGCAACAUUUUCUGAAGCUUUCUUACUGUAACUGGGAACAAUAAGCAUAGGAAUAUUUUUAUAAUGAAUAUUACCUCAUAGAUAUUCAUGAGUGCCAAUUCUGACUAGCCUGACAGUUGUUUUGUGUGUUUGUUCUCCAGAUAUGGGCAAAAUGAAGUAUACCCUCUCUCACACCCAUAUAUUUUCAUGACUAGGAUUCACUAUUACUCAGCUAUCAUAGUGCCUCAACUCUCAUUCCACAUUGAUCUCUCAGAGUUGUCUUUUGAGAACUGUGAGUUCUUUGAGAAAAAAACAGUAUUUUGAAGGAGUAUCGAUGAUGCAAAAACAUGGAAACUUGAGGCAAAAAUACUUCCACCUGAGAGAGAUUCAGGUAGUUCUGUGAUAAAAGGGAAUGCUGCAUUAAACACAUGGCAUUAAAGACUCCUUUGCAAAUACAAGCUGUAUCACAUUGCUUUCUCCUUUGCACAACAACAUUCAAAUUUCAUCAAAGUUUUCCCCUGGGAAAGCUUGCUAACUUCUUCCUCCUUUAUAUGCUCCACGCUCCUCCCAGCCCCCAUUUCUCCAAAACAAGCGUGGUUAUACCAAAUGCAGUAUUUGUCCUCAUGCCCUGGAGACUUUUCUGUCAAUAAGAUACAAUUAGGGAUGCCUGCCUACCCUGACUUGCAAAGGGAAACUAGCAACACUGGUGAGAGUAUUACAUACCAUGUUCACAACAAGGCUUUCCAUAAUCAGCUCUAUGGACUGAAGUAAAUGCUACAGAAAAAAAAUGUCCACCAGGUCAUUUGUGAUAUAGACAUAUCUACAUAACAAUGUCGGCAUAAGUCACAAGCAUAGGUAUUUUAUGAUGAUUGCUUUAAUUUGGGAGGGAGAGAACUAUAAUAGUUUUUUAAGCACAUGUAAAUCCCUUCUUGGAAAUGGAUCAGAUGAAGAAGAGAGUUGAGACAUUGCACAAAUACCAGCGAAUGCAUCUCAAAACUCAUUGGUGGACCUUACAAACAAAGCAGAAGACUUAUUUGUGAUAUACUGAGAACACACUUCCAUCUCAGGAUGCAUUUAUUGAUUUACUUUUGUGCUCAGAGGAGCAGGACCUUGAGGCACCAAGAGGGCCUCAGGACCAAGAGGCAAAAAUGCCUCUUGGCCAUUUUUGUUGUGUUGAAAUCAAAGGGAUGGAUUUUAUGCUUAAAGCUGUGCGCUUGGAGAAGUAAUGCAAGAACAUAUAGUGUUUGUAAGGUUUUAGUGGGCAAUGCUAACAGCAAGAACAUGUCUGGAGUACUUUGUACUUCACAGCAUUCCAGAUCUCAAAGGCUGACAGGUCUCCCUGACAAGAGAUUCCCUACGCAUGGAAAAGCCAUAAAGCAGAUAUCAACCUUCAUCAUCUUCUGCUACCUCUGAAGCCACAUGAUGAAAGCAAUGCAUGUUGCAUUCCGGAUACUUUUAACUUAUUGAAUGCUUUGUUCAUUUGUGGCAGACUACUAAAGCUACCCAAGGCUGUUAAUGCACAGUAUCAUGUAAUCUUGUUCCAGGAGUAAGGAAAGAAAGGUGUAACCACUCCUUUUGACUGCCUUAGGAAAUGCCAGAUGCAAGAGUCUGUCUCAGUUAGCUCAUUAAAGUGCCAGUCACUCAAAUGUAUUCUUAUUCUGCAAAUUUCCCCGAGAAUUCAAAGUAUGUCAUAGUAGGCAAAAGCCUAGUAGUCCUGCAAGAGAGCAUCUGUCACUCGUGAGAAAGGGAAGUGCACAGAUAAGAAGAAAUAGUAAGAACUAUUGCCUAAUAAUAUGACCCCUUCUACAGUUUGAAAUAGAAUCUAAAGAAACAAUGGGAACAGGUCUUUCUCAAAGAAAGAUGUAAACAGAAGGACAAGAUAUGUGCAUUCUGCAUCAGAGCAGAAGGGAAUUGACAGGUAUUACCUGGCCUUAGGGACAAUCUCUAGAGCUGCUGGUUUUUUGAAUCUUUAUUCAGUUGCUGAUCCAGAAAAAGAUACCUUUGAGAGCUGCUGUUGUUUUGGGAUCUUGGUUAGAAGUGUUUUAACAUGCAAGAUACCCUUGAAGAUGCAGAGCUGCUUCCCAUGGAAUAUACUAUGAAGAUGAGGAAGAGCUACAUGUUCUGUGUCCAAACACCAACACCAGUUUUUAGCCAUUAAGUAGUGAAAUAAAACGGAAUAUCAGGGCACCGUAACCUUGUCAUAUUUUAUUUACACAAGAAUCUCAGUCCACGGAGGGGUAACAACAGGAUCUGAACCUCUUUUUUUCCAGAGUUGUCCCUUCGGAACAUGUUUAUGAAAGCUUGCCAAUCCCAUCAUCAUUAAAGGUUGAUGUGUGUGGCAUGCUUCUCUCAGUAUCUGUAAAUUAUGGUUCAGAUUAAAUGUGUAUUUCUGUCGGUGAAAAACAAAGAUAAAUCAGUUUAACCAGCCAGUCAACUUUAGCUUAGGCUUGUUGACUUAGAGGAACAGCUCAAAGCAGCAAAAGGACAUUAAAGAAUAUAGCAUUACAUAUCAACCGAAAGGAAUGACCUAAGGUCUGAGCCAAGCACAAACACCAGUACUAUUAGAUAUGUCUCUGGUAACAUAUGGUUAAAGGUAUUACUGUUACAGGCUUGGUUUGUGCAAAUCUCCUUGAGACCAAGGCCUCCCUUGCUGCUGGGAGAGUUCAACACCUCUUGUCCAAGUGUCUAUAUCAGACAGAGAUUCAAUACAGAAUGCACUGAGGCCUCUGAAUUCCCGUUAAUGUUUUGUGAAAAUGCACAGUGCAGUCUGUGCACAAAAGUAGCUCAGCAAAGCCCACACUAUGUUCUCAAAAUAUAAAUUAAUAUCUAUUUCCUUUAAGAGACAAAUCACACUGCACGGAAGCAUGAAUUGUUUUCAAAAUAUAGUUUAGCUCAUUUUAAUUCAAUUCAAUCCAAUCAAUUUGGUCUAAACCAGAGUGCUUUGUGUGGGAGCCUAAUACGAUGAUUUAUUUAAUCCAUGAGAGUACUACAGAAUGGAGUUUACAUUUUAGGAUCUGCUUACUAUCAUCUUUGAACACCCUGACUCUGGACACAAAUGAGGAUAUCUUCAGAUUAGUAUAAAUCAACCUCAGGUUCAGUUAAGAUAUAUCUCAUUACACUAACCUAGGAUAGUUUCAGUUAGGCAAUUGUAUUUUCCCUUUUUUCUUACUCCUUAUGCUCCUAAAUGCCCCUUAUGCUAAGGAAGGUGCUGGGGUAGAAGAGUAUGUCCAACUGUGCAGCAGCUGGUGGUUACAAGUGAUGUCCUCAGCACCCAGGCUAGCAGUGAUGUACAUUCUGUGCUACAGAGUCUUCACAAUACCCAAAAAAUUAUACAAGGAUUUCAAGACCUAACAGAAAAAAGAUAAAAGUGACCCACUGCUGCUCCUCAAAGAGCUCACAUUUCUGACUGCAGUCAGACAGCAUUUACUGCCUGCUGUUUUAUCUAAUUUCCAUAGGCAGGCAAUUUUCUAGAAGAAAUAUACUAGAAAAAAAAUAUAACCCCAUUCUACACAAUUCAGAUUAUUUCAAACAUCAAAGUUUGAAGUCUUAAGGUAAAAGUUUUCAUUGAGAUCACAUGGUAUGUAUGCAAGAAAGGAAAAGUAAAGCAUGUCAAAUAUACCAAUUCCAAUGUCUUUAUUUUGUUUCAAGAAGCUCUGUUUGUGAAUUUCAGUGGUAAAA